CCCAAGGUAGGAUUGAUGAUUAGGGUGAAGUCGUAACAAGGUAUCCGUACGAGAACGUGCGGANGGAUCACCUCCUUUCUAUGGAGUUAAUACUUUAUAGUAAUUAACUAGUUUUAAUGACCGUUAUGUUUAGUUUUCAGAGAUUAGUUUCUCUGACAAUAGCAAAUAAAUGUUAUUGGAAUUGUUCUUUGAAAACUGGAUAAUAGACAUCUAGUUAUUUUAAUCACUUGAUUAAAAUAACAAUAAUUCAAAAUUUCUGUUAUUUUUAAAAAAUAACUAAAAUUUCACAGUUAUAUUUGUAAAUAAUUCUCAAAAACUGAUUUAAAAUCAGGUCAAAUAAUUUAUAAAACUUUGAAGUUACAAAGGG
rnacentral:misc_RNA from 1 species